rnacentral:tRNA from 1 species
UGGUCCGUUGGUCAAGGGGUUAAGACACCGCCUUUUCACGGCGGUAACACGGGUUCGAAUCCCGUACGGACUAUUUU